rnacentral:rRNA from 1 species
AACGAACGCUGGCGGCAUGCCUAACACAUGCAAGUCGAACGAGACCUUCGGGUCUAGUGGCGCACGGGUGCGUAACGCGUGGGAACCUGCCCUUAGGUUCGGAAUAACUCCCCGAAAGGGGUGCUAAUACCGGAUAAUGUCUUCGGACCAAAGAUUUAUCGCCUUUGGAUGGGCCCGCGUUGGAUUAGCUAGUUGGUAGGGUAAAAGCCUACCAAGGCGACGAUCCAUAGCUGGUCUGAGAGGAUGAUCAGCCACACUGGGACUGAGACACGGCCCAGACUCGUACGGGAGGCAGCAGUGGGGAAUAUUGGACAAUGGGCGAAAGCCUGAUCCAGCAAUGCCGCGUGAGUGAUGAAGGCCUUAGGGUUGUAAAGCUCUUUUACCCGAGAUGAUAAUGACAGUACCGGGAGAAUAAGCUCCGGCUAACUCCGUG